rnacentral:rRNA from 1 species
AUUGAACGCUGGCGGCAGGCCUAACACAUGCAAGUCGAGCGGUAGCACAGAGAGCUUGCUCUCGGGUGACGAGCGGCGGACGGGUGAGUAAUGUCUGGGAAACUGCCCGAUGGAGGGGGAGAACUACUGGAAACGGUAGCUAAUACCGCAUAACGUCGCAAGACCAAAGUGGGCGACCUUCGGGCCUCAUGCGAUCAGACGGGCCCAGAUGGGAUUAGCUAGUAGGUGGGGUAACGGCUCACCUAGGCGACGAUCCCUGAGCUGGUCUGAGAGGAUGACCAGCCACACUGGAACUGAGACACGGUCCAGACUCCUACGGGAGGCAGCAGUGGGGAAUAUUGCACAAUGGGCGCAAGCCUGAUGCAGCCAUGCCGCGUGUGUGAAGAAGGCCUUCGGGUUGUAAAGCACUUUCAGCGGGGAGGAAGGCGGUGAGGUUAAUAACCUCACCGAUUGACGUUACCCGCAGAAGAAGCACCGGCUAACUCCGUGCCAGCCGCCGCAGUAAAAC